rnacentral:rRNA from 1 species
UACAGAGGUCUCAAGCGUUGUCCGGAAUCAUUGGGCGUAAAGAGCGCGUAGGCGGCCAGAUAAGUCCGGUGUGAAAGUCAAAGGCUCAACCUUUGAAUGCCGCUGGAAACUGUCUGGCUAGAGUCCGGGAGGGGCGAGUGGAAUUCCUGGUGUAGCGGUGAAAUGCGCAGAUAUCAGGAGGAACACCAAUGGCGAAGGCAGCUCGCUGGAACGGUACUGACGCUGAGGCGCGAAAGCGUGGGGAGCGAACAGG